UAACGGCGAGUGAAGCGGCAACAGCUCAAAUUUGAAAUCUGGCCCCCGGGUCCGAGUUGUAAUUUGUAGAGGAUGCUUUUGGUGCGGUACCUUCCGAGUUCUCUGGAACGAGACGCCAUAGAGGGUGAGAGCCCCGUCUGGUUGGACGCCAAACCUUUGUAAAGCUCCUUCGACGAGUCGAGUAGUUUGGGAAUGCUGCUCUAAAUGGGAGGUAUAUGUCUUCUAAAGCUAAAUAUUGGCCAGAGACCGAUAGCGCACAAGUAGAGUGAUCGAAAGAUGAAAAGCACUUUGAAAAGAGAGUUAAAAAGUACGUGAAAUUGUUGAAAGGGAAGCGCUCAUGACCAGACUUGGGCCCGGUUGAUCAUCCAGGGUUCUCCCUGGUGCACUCUUCCGGCCCAGGCCAGCAUCAGUUCGCUGUGGGGGAUAAAGGCUUCGGGAAUGUGGCUCCCUCGGGAGUGUUAUAGCCCGUCGUGCAAUACCCUGCGGCGGACUGAGGUUCGCGCAUUCGCAAGGAU
rnacentral:rRNA from 1 species